GAGGGUAUAGCUCAAGUGGUAGGGCGCAUGCUUAGCAUGCACAGGGUCCUGGGUUCAAUUCCCAGUACUGCCU
rnacentral:tRNA from 1 species